GGGGGCGGGCAGAGAGAGAGAAGGAAUGAAUGAAUGGGGCUGGUCCUGUCCUGGAGAUCUGGACCCCAGUUCUAAUGCAGGUUGACCAUGGCACCCUCAGAUCCCAUGAGAUCCUCAGUGUCUGGAUCUUUUGCAGCCCACAAACGCAAAUAUCGCGGUUUUCCAGUCCUGAAACAUUGAUAAGUUCUGAUAGAGUCAGAGGCACGGUGCUUGGCGGGUAGCGAGGAAGACUUUGGUGACGUAAGCAGAACGUGGUCCACGCCUCCGUCUCCGAGGGGAAAGGCAGGCGCAGCAUCAGACACGGGUGGCAGUGAGUCCCAGCGGGACAGACAGUCUUGGGUGGAAAUAAAGAGUUACUAGAUACUGUAA